GGGGCGAGGGAGGGAAGAAUUGCCGCGUUUUUGUUUGCCAAAAUUAGCGACGGAUAGUAAAGUUCCGUCGCUAAUUGCACAACUAUAUGAAACGCACAGUUUCAUUAAACUAAUUAGCGACGGAAACUGAUCAUCGGUCGCUAAUUAGUUUAAUGAAACUCUGCGUUUCAUUUAUCUUGAUUUUAGCGACGGAAUUAGUGUCCGUCGCUAAAAACAAGAUAAAUGAAACGCAGCAGCCGGUCUUCUUCCAUUUCAGAAACCUAAUUGAAAAAAAAAGUGCUGCCGCCGGUGUCUUCUUCCUUCUGCUGCCGCCGGUGUCUUCUUCCAUCUGCUGCCGCCGGUGUCUUCUUCUAUCUGCUGCCGUCGGUCUCCCUCCUCCGCUAGUCUCUUUCUUCCUCUGGUCUCCCUCCUCCGCUGCUCCUCCUCUUCCCUACUGCCGGAGCUAAACCGCUGCCGUCCUCCUCUCACCGGCCACCGCACAUUUGUUUUGUCCUUAUUACGGUUAUUCCUAUUGUCGUCCACCCACACCGUUUUUACCAUCCACAUUCUCUUCUCAUUUGCGGUUCUGCUCUUCAACAAAAAUGAAUCCAGACCGCAGCUGGAUGUAUACGAGGCAUGACAGAGGCUUCCUGCCGCCAGAUUUUUUCCCUAAUCUGGAAGAGUUCGUGAAUUUUGCUGU